AGGCUACGUCAUUUGCUUAAACAUCACAAACACUUCACGAGCACUUGGCAACAUCGCCUGUGGAGAGCACAAUUGUGCGUAAACACAUUUAGUUGGUUGUACUCGAUGAAUUGCACGCGUAAAACAACCACUUCGCGGGGAGAAAUAGCCUGCAGGCGCAGGCAGACCAGCGAAUUCGCAGAAAAGUCUUUCGUGGAAAAUAGGGUACUGCCUUAUGUUUGGAAUGCCCGAGGGUGGCGCUUAAAUAGAGGUUUCUGGCAAGCAGUUCCGAGGAGUAACCCUCGAACAGGUUUUUUUACACACAGAAACGAAGAGUUGAGGUAGGCUUAUAUUUUUUUGACCAUGAGACGUCAAAACUCAUAGAAUGACUCGAAUAAGUCGAGCAUCUUGAAGCACAAUUCUGGGAACAGUCUGUGAUAUCGCUUCCCUUCUGGACCCCACCACCCCGCGGUAGCAUCGAACGGGUUUACAGCAUGGUGGCUGUCCAGGCGUUCUACCUUGGGCUUCUUGUCAUUGUUCAAGAUGUGGCAGCGCAUGGGCUUUCACCAAUAUUUCAAGACCAAUCCAAGAGACCCCACUUGACUGGCUGUGUUUCAAGAGAAAUGGAAUCAUUUUACUGCUCUUGGAGCGUCGGCACAUUCCAAAACCUUACAGAGCCCGGAGACCUCAGACUCUUCUAUAUGUACCAAGACAUAGUAUCCCCCAAAGAAUGGAAGGAAUGCCCUAAAUACGCCUCGCUAAGGGAGAACAGGUGUCACUUUGGCACUGAACACACGCAGAUAUGGACUGUUUACAAGGUCCAGCUCCGCUCGCGUGAUCAGCACAUUGUCUAUGAUGAAGUCCAAUUCACAGUGGAGAACAUUGUCUAUCCCGACCCACCUGCUGGGGUGAAUUGGACGAUGCUGAGUAUCGGCAUGACCAAUAUGUACACCGAUGUGGUGCUCAGCUGGGGCCCGCCGGCGUCAGCAGUGAACCACGUGGAGGUUGGAUGGCUGGUUCUGGUGUACGAAGUCCAGUACCGGGAGGUGAACUCGCCCAUCUGGAUCAUUCUAAACGCAGACACAGAGACCAGGAGAUACAUCUAUGGACUUAGCACAAACAAAGACUACGAGAUCCGAGUGCGGUGCAGGAUGAAAGAUUUCAAAAACUUCAGCAACUUCAGUGACACCCUAGUGAUCAACGUACCUGCCAGAGCAAUGGCUCCUAUUGCUCUGGGAUUCUUCUUCACCGCACUUGGCUUUGUGAUCCUUGGUCUUCUGGUACUAUUCACCCGACAGAAGAAGAAGCUCAUGGUGAUAUUCCUGCCUCCCGUCCCCGGACCCAAAAUUAGAGGCAUCAACCCAGAGCUGUUGAAGAAAGGCAAACUGGCCGAGCUGACCGCCAUCCUGUCCAACCACUCUGCCCUGCGGGCUGACCCCUACAACGACGACGCGUGGGUGGAGUUCAUCGAGCUGGACAUCGAGAAACCGAACGAGGGAGAGCAAGACCUGGAGACGACAUUCCUCAUAAACCGCUCGCCCUCCUCCGACAGCACCCACCUUGCCAACGACUUCCGGGACGACGACUCUGGACGAGCUAGCUGCUGUGAGCAAGACCUACCCGACUCCGACACCGCAGAGUUUCGCAACCCUGUGCAGUCAUCGUUGUCCUCGUCACCAUCAUCCCCCUCAGCUGUUGACCCGGCUGUCCAAACCGGAGCCCAACCGCAGCAGAUGAAGACUCAGGUGUCUCAGGAGUCGUGGCCAGGCACACUAGACCUGUAUGCUCAGGUGAGGCAGGUGACACCGGCAGGAGAGGUGGUCUUGACCCCUGAGGAGAGGGAAGAGGCUACUAAAGUAGACACCAUACCAAAAUGUGAUCAUCAGACCAAGAAAAAGCCAGAGUUCCAACUGUUGGUGCUGGAUGCUGGUGAUGACAACGCCUCCGAGCCACACACACACAACAUGACCACUAUUAGCCAGUCACCAGGCCCCCACACCCCAUCCAUAGCUCCUGCACCGGAGGAUGUCAACAGCUCGUUACUGGGUCACAGAGAACCACAGGUGGCGGUGAACAUGCCGGCAGCAGGUGCAGUGCCAGAGUCUCCGGGUCUUCUGUCAACUCCACCGCCGGUGUCCCCUCUUCCUCCUGCGGAAUACACAGUGGUAGACGGCACCGACCCACAGAACAGCCUUCUGUUGAGAUCAAAUGUUACCAUGCCGCCCGCUGCUUCCUCCUCACAGAUGAAACAGAUGCCCUCGCCCGAGGGGUACCUGACCCCUGACCUUCUGGACAGCAUUGCCUUCUGAGAGACCAUGGAAGAGCCUCAUGUCAUGUCAACAACCGGACCCCGUUUCUUAAAAGCAUCGCUGCUAACCACUACACAACUUAGUGAGACGUCUUCAAGUGCCAAAAAAGAAGAAAGUUGUUUAGCCUACAACUCAACUCCUUUCAUGAAAAUGACCUGGAUGAAGAAUCUUCAAAGACAACUCAUGAAAUUCGAACAUCCAAUGUACAGAACUUCAAUGCUAUAAGUGUCAUGACUUAAGUGCCAUAACAGAAGUAUGAUUAUAGUCUCUAUACUACAUUUUUAAAAACUUUUUUCCAGCGGUGCUUACUAUAGGCCUAUCUAACGAAAGGGAAAUGUGAGACUGUUGGGCAAUAUUGGCCAAUGUUGGUCCCGUCACAUGAUGAUCAUGAUCUUCUAGGAGACAAACUGCUCGGCGGGUUAACAACACAUAUCAAGAGGGUGACCCAGACAUUUUUUAGGACACAUGGGGAGAAUAAAUAGGACCGUGAAACACCUGAGAUAGUCUUCUGCUUCUAGUUA